AGCAGCCGCGGUAAUUCCAGCUCCAAUAGCGUAUAUUAAAGUUGUUGCAGUUAAAAAGCUCGUAGUUGAAUUUCGGGGUUAGUAGGUUGGUCAUGCCUCUGGUAUGUACUGGUCUCACUGAUUCCUCCUUCCUGAUGAGCCGUAAUGCCAUUAAUUUGGUGUUGCGGGGAAUUUGGACUGUUACUUUGAAAAAAUUAGAGUGUUUAAAGCAAGCUAACGCUUGAAUACAUUAGCAUGGAAUAAUGAAAUAGGACGUUCGAUCCUAUUUUGUUGGUUUCUAGGAUUGACGUAAUGAUUAAUAGGGAUAGUUGGGGGCAUUAGUAUUCAAUUGUCAGAGGUGAAAUUCUUGGAUUUAUUGAAGCUAACUACUGCGAAAGCAUUUGCCAAGGAUGUUUUCAUUAAUCAAGAACGAAAGUUAGGGACCGAAGACGAUCAGAUACCGUCGUAGUCUUAACCAUAAACUAUAGCCGACUAGGGAUCGGAUGAUGUUAAUUUUUUAAUUGACUUCUAUUCGGCGCCG
rnacentral:rRNA from 1 species